UCUCUCCCUCCCUCCCUUUCCUUUCCCCCUUCUCCCCCUCCCUCUUUCCCCUCCUCUUCCCCUUUCUUUCUUUCCGUUCCUCUUCCACUCUGCCACUUUAUCUCUCCCGGUAGCUCUCCUUCCACUACUCUCUCCCUCUCUCCUUGGCCGAUCUUCCCCCGCGCUGCCCAGGGACGCAGACCUCGUUUUGCAGAGAUAGGUCUUACUAAUAUGUCCAAAUACAGUGAGGAAGAAACCACAGAAUGCUUGCAUCUGGGGAUUCACUACUGGCUUUCCAGGCAGAGCUGUUCCUCCAGUUUCCAAACAAUAAAGUCUCAUGAAGCUGGAGGAAAGCUCGGAAGUCUCAUCAAUAAUGCCAAUAACCUCAGUACCUCUUUCCUCUGGAUUUGCAUGUAUUGUAAUUCUCAAAAAGAACUGAAGUCUUGUGUAAUAAUAUAAAUAAAUAAUAUGCAUGUUGUUAUCGUCUCCAAAGUAAUGGUAAAUUGUUUGGUUUUGUGAACAGCUUGAUUUUAAUUUAUUCUUGUCCUAACUAAUAGGAAAGAAAGAUAAUAAAACAUAUAAGUGUUGGUAA